GUUCAAGAGUACGUGAAACCGUUCAGGGGUAAACCUGAGAAACCCGAAAGGUCGAAUGGGGAAAUUCAUUCGAGUUUCGAUCGUCGGCGUUGAGCGGUCGUGCGACGGACGGAGUCCGCUUCGUCCGCGUCUUCAGCUUUUCGAACCGACUUCGAACUCGUGCACUUUUCCCCUAGUAGGACGUCGCGAUCCGUUGGGUGUCGAUCUAAGGCCUGCGGUGGAGCUCGCGUAGACGUUUCGGCGUUCUACGUGAACCCGUAGUGUUUCCCGAUCGACUCGCUCGACGGUAUAAAGAUGGCGCGGGGCCGCUAACUAUUACAAUUAGCGUUCGACCUACGGCAAGCACGUACGGUGUUUAGACGGCGAUCAGACCUGGUCGGAUCCCGUCCCCGGACGACUGUUGGCACGUAGAGUUCUCGAACAGACCUCGUCGAAACGCCGAUCUGCGACGCUAUAGCUUUGGGUACUUUCAGGACCCGUCUUGAAACACGGACCA
rnacentral:rRNA from 1 species